CUUAUUCUACAUUUCACUAAUGUAUCUUUCCCCACUGUAUAUAUAUAUAUAUAUAUAUAUAUAUAUAUAUUUUUUUUUUUUUUAUUAUUAUUAUUAUUUCCUCACAUUGGCUACAUUCUUGCAAUGUUUUUAGCUCCCAUGACCCUGAAAAAAAAAUUACACUAUAGUACAGUGGGAAACUUCUGUAACAGUAAUCUCCUCAACCACAAUCAAUUUUGUAGUGAAAUCAAUUAUUGGCCAAAUUCCAGUUAAAAUCACAACCCCUGUUAUACUAAUAAUACCGUCAGACAAGGUUGUGGUAUACAGGCUUGUCGCCAGCGUUGUAUUUUCCUGGCCCAUUUCUCUCUCUCGUCUAAGUCUUGUAAUUUCAUCAUUCCUGAGAGAAAAAUAAGAAUAAUAAUAACACAAUAAUUCAAACCACCCCCCUUCUGAACCUUUUGUCAAUUUACUCACUACUUAAUCGUGUGCCAAUUCAAUGUCAACUGCACAUGCUAGAAUUUGUGGUUCAGAAGUGGUGGUCAUGUUUAAAACAACUUUUAACAUUAGUUUAAUUCAGACAAGACUGCUGUAACCCCUCCAUAAUUGGCUUCUUGCCCGGAGAUAAUACAGCAGCUUGCUGGCUGUUCUGUCUCCAUAAUGCAAUAGGACACACAGAACUCUGCUUCUUUGCACUAUUAGUUGAAAUUAGUUAAAAUGGCAACGCACAUUGCUAUUUGAGUCAUCAGAUUCUCCUCGUCUCAAAAAAUCAAUUCUAGGUGCCAUUAUUCACUCACCUAUAUUACUUUAUAAUAGUGUUUUAGCAACGGUGCCCACAGACCAGAUAAUUCCAGUUCCCUUAUCUGGCCGGCAUGCUUUGACCUUCAUGUCAAAGCAAGUUUUCAAGCACUCCAGCUCCAUUCCCAGACCUUUGGGGUCAACGGGAGCCAUUUACUUUGAAUGUCAUCCAUAUUUCUCUUAAUACGGUAUGACCAUAGAUAAUCGACGCCUGAUCCCAGCUGUUGUUGAUAAGUCAUGUUAUCAACUUGCAAUCUUGAACCUUCAAUUUUGCCUUUACUAGAGAAAUCAACAAAGGUCUUGUCACAAGACCAAACUUUAUGUCUGCCAUGUACCAGCAAUUUAUGGUAUUUAAUGUCAUCGAGACAUACAUCGCAUUUAAUCACAUAUUCCCUGUCCACAAACAAUCACAAACUGUUUACUUUACUCCAAGCCGCUGUGUCAUUAUUACUUCAACUUUAGGGAAACUAAUUCUACAUUUUUGGCAGUGAACUCACAAAGCUGCUUUAAUUUCUCCAGGAGUUUUGUAAUCUUGAUCUCUCUGUAUUUUUGGCAUAGUUAGAGGUUUACUAAUCUUUUUUGUAUUUUUUUAUUAUUAUUAUUGCUUUUUAAUUCCUCCCUGGAUUUGGGGUUGCUUAUCGCUAGUGCUUCCCACCACAGUUAUUCUUCAAAACUACCACAAACAGCACAUAUACACCUAUGCUAUAUAACAUUUCAGUUUAACAGGUUUAAGCAAUCUACCUGUCUGUCUGGCUUUUUCAGGCUCAAUAUCCUUCGCUAUAUAAUUAUCAACGCAUCUCGUCCUUAGAUUAGUUUAAAUUCUAAUCACACCUCUCUGGUUAUUAAUCUCAACCAAUUUAACAAGAUCAUCCUAAUCUCAUUGAUAAUUUUCCUGCUUGAGUUAAAUUUUCUUGUCCUUGGUUUUUAACCAAGACCAAAUUCCUCUUACUCCAGAGACCAUUAUCUGCUAAUUCCACAUUCUUUAUCAACUAUUUAAUUAUUUUAUCAUUCUUAGUUAUUAAAUCUUUAAAUGGUUUAUUUUUAUGUUUAUUGUCUAAUCUGAUCCAGACGUGAUCUCCUACUCGGCAAAAGUCUUCUGGCUGGUCUUUUGACGUUUGAUCUCUGUAAGAUUAAUAUAAAACAUUAAAUCUUCCAUAUAUUCAUCCCCUCUAUCAUGAUUACAACUGGCCCGUUUCCAGCUUUUUAUAAUCCCUAUAGAUCUCUCAGCUGUUGCGUUUGACUCUGGGCAAUAUCUUAUAGUUUUAAUUGAACUGAUAUGUUUUUAGUUACAAAGUCUUCAAACUGUUCUCCUAUAAAAUAUGUGCCAUUGUCAACCAUUGUCAUUGUCUGGCCGGCCCCAAGCUACCAGUAAUUUAUUGACAUCUUUAAUAAUUGCAUUUGCUUUUGUCUCUUUUAAAGGCUUUCCCAAAAUUUGGCUCGUAAAGCCAUCUACUACCAUCAAUAGAUAUUUAUUACAAUCUUUAGACCUCGGGAUCAAAGGUCCAGCGAUGUCCAAAGAUCAUUCCUGGUUAACUCUGUCUGGUAUAAUACCUCCAAAUAUGGUAUAAUACCUAGGAAUAUCCUGGCUGAUUUAUCACUGUAACAUAAAAAAUCACUUAUUAUUUUUUGUAUAUCUUGCCAAAAUGUUGCAUGUUCAAUUUGCUUACCUUUUGACUUGGUGUAACCGUUGUCAGUCCAGAUUUGCAAAUUGUCAAUAAUUCCUGUUGCAACUGCAAUCCGUCACUAUUAUGGCCUGUAAAUAUCCAAGUUUUUCAGUGUUUUCAAAGCCUGGAACACUGUCAUGAGCUCUGCGUACUGUCCUGUGCCUUGCACUACUCCCUCUUUUGAAGCUAUGACCUUGUUGCUCUGUUUCAGAAUCAAAAGCCCAGUGAGCUUCCUUGUCUGCAGCCGUUUUUGAGCCAUCUGUGAAAACAACUGUAUUUUUAUAAAGCUCUAAUUUCUUUUUCUGUCAUUUUUUAAGUUCUUUUUGUCUGAUUUUCAUAUCUGGAUCUAGAAGCAUUUCCCAUCUCUGCCAUCAGCUAUUAAGCGCACGGUCAUCCUUUACAUUGUUUUGGAGAGAUGAGCUACUAGAUACUGCUGUUUUCAUGUUAACAAAUAUUAUUUGGCCCCUUGCCAGGCCUUUCAACUCGGAAAUAGCGUUUUCUAAGUGCUGCCAGCUGCUUCUUCACACCAGUAAAUUUAAGUGGUUCUUGGAUCUCCCAGCUUCCAGUCAUAAUUUUAACAGGACCAUUCCCGACGGCUGAGAGAAUCCUGGCUGGUUGUUGUCCUCCCUUUUCUCAAUAAUUUUUUCAAGUUCAUCCUGAUUUAUGUUAGUCAAUAAUAAAUUUAUGGUCAAUUGACCUUCCUGUGACAUAUCUGUAAUUCCCAAUAGUAUGCCUUCUAAUACUGAAUUAACCGGGUGUUUAAAUUGUCCUGUUUCCAUUAAAGUCAUAUGUAUUUAA